rnacentral:rRNA from 1 species
UACGUAGGGUGCGAGCGUUGUCCGGAAUUAUUGGGCGUAAAGAGCUUGUAGGUGGCUCGUCGCGUCGGGAGUGAAAACCCGCGGCUUAACCGCGGGCCUGCUUUCGAUACGGGCGGGCUAGAGUUCGGCAGGGGAGACUGGAAUUCCUGGUGUAGCGGUGGAAUGCGCAGAUAUCAGGAGGAACACCGGUGGCGAAGGCGGGUCUCUGGGCCGACACUGACGCUGAGGAGCGAAAGCGUGGGGAGCGAACAGG